GCCUCGUUAGGUCAGUGGUUAGAGCACUGGUCUUGUAAACCAGGGGUCGAGAGUUCAAAUCUCUCACGGGGCU
rnacentral:tRNA from 1 species